CGGGAAACUGAGGAUAAACCGCGAUAAGUCACUACUUCUGGAAUGGGUAAUGACUAAAAUCUACAUGGCCCCUGGAUUGGACUGCGGCCGAUCAGGCUGUUGGUGAGGUAAUGGCCCACCAAACCUGUAACCGGUACGGGCUCUGAGAGGAGGAGCCCGGAGAUGGGCACUGAGACAAGGGCCCAGGCCCUAUGGGGCGCAGCAGGCGCGAAACCUCUGCAAUAGGCGAAAGCCUGACAGGGUUACUCUGAGUGAUUUCCGUUAAGGAGAUCUGUUGGCACCUCUAAAAAUGGUGCAGAAUAAGGGGUGGGCAAGUCUGGUGUCAGCCGCCGCGGUAAUACCAGCACCCCGAGUGGUCGGGACGUUUAUUGGGCCUAAAGCAUCCGUAGCCGGUUCUACAAGUCUUCCGUUAAAUCCACCUGCUUAACAGAUGGGCUGCGGAAGAUACUAUAGAGCUAGGAGGCGGGAGAGGCAAGCGGUACUCGAUGGGUAGGGGUAAAAUCCGUUGAUCCAUUGAAGACCACCAGUGGCGAAGGCGGCUUGCCAGAACGCGCUCGACGGUGAGGGAUGAAAGCUGGGGGAGCAAACCGGAUUGGAUACCCGGGUAGUCCCAGCUGUAAACGAUGCAGACUCGGUGAUGAGUUGGCUUCUUGCCAACUCAGUGCCGCAGGGAAGCCGUUAAGUUUGCCGCCUGGGGAGUACGGUCGCAAGACUGAAACUUAAAGGAAUUGGCGGGGGAGCACAGACUGCUCAGUAACACGUAUAGGAAUUGGCGGGGGAGCACGUACUGCUCAGUAACACGUAUAGGAAUUGGCGGGGGAGCACAUACGGCUCAGUAACACGUAUAGGAAUUGGCGGGGGAGCACAUACUGCUCAGUAACACGUAUAGGAAUUGGCGGGGGAGCAC
rnacentral:rRNA from 1 species